rnacentral:lncRNA from 1 species
CAGGAAUUUCUGAAGAAUAUAAUUUUGCAUUGGCAUCUAACACAAAUAUUAUGUAAAAGGAUAUUUAAAUGGCAUUAUGGAUUGAAUUGUGUCCCUCCCCCUCAAAAAAAGGUAUAUUGGAGUCUCAACUGUCCAUUCUUCACAGUGUGACCUUAUUUGGAAAUAGGUUAAGUGCAAAUAUAAUUAGUUAAGAUGAGGUCAUAGUGGAGUAGUGUGAGCCCUUAGUCCAAUAUGACUUAUGGCCUCAUGAAAAGGGGAAAUUUGGACACAGACACACAGGAAGAACCCCCUAUGGAGACUGGAGUUACACCACCACACAUCAAGAAACUACCAGAAGCUAGGAAAGGAGCCCGGAACAGAUCCUUCGCCAGCUCCCUCAGAGGCCCAAACAACAGCUUGAUCUUGGACUUCUAGUCUCUGGAACUCUGAGGCAACAAAGUAUAGUUUAAGCCAGUCAGCUGGUGGCACUGAAUCCAUAAGAAUGUUAAGCUUGCAUGCUAUGGAGGAGCAGAGUUGGAUGAUACCCAACAGGUCUGUUAAAAUGAAUUAGUUUAUAUAAGAACUGAAAAUCCGCUGUUGAAAAAGACACAGGAACACUGACCCCAUUGGGAUUCAAGUCUGUAAAAACAUGUAAACUGAGUGGCACAUGACUAAAAUCAGACUGAACCAUGAAAGCAAAGGUACCAAAAGGUGCUCCUCAGGUCUGAAGAAAUACUUGGAGAGAAAGAAUCUAUCUCAAACCAAACUUUCUACAAAGUCUGUCAGGUGUGGACCAUUUAUCUGCUGGCUGGUGUCCAUCUUAGAGAUGUCCCUGUGGGUGCUCCUCAAGUUACGCCUCGAAGAAUCAGACAUUCCACUGGGCUUGUGGCAUGACCAAUGUUUGUUCUGA